rnacentral:rRNA from 1 species
AGCGAACGCUGGCGGCAGGCUUAACACAUGCAAGUCGAGCGGGCACUUCGGUGUCAGCGGCAGACGGGUGAGUAACACGUGGGAACGUACCCUUCGGUUCGGAAUAACGCUGGGAAACUAGCGCUAAUACCGGAUACGCCCUUUUGGGGAAAGGUUUACUGCCGAAGGAUCGGCCCGCGUCUGAUUAGCUAGUUGGUGGGGUAAUGGCCUACCAAGGCGACGAUCAGUAGCUGGUCUGAGAGGAUGAUCAGCCACACUGGGACUGAGACACGGCCCAGACUCCUACGGGAGGCAGCAGUGGGGAAUAUUGGACAAUGGGCGCAAGCCUGAUCCAGCCAUGCCGCGUGAGUGAUGAAGGCCUUAGGGUUGCAAAGCUCUUUUGUCCGGGACGAUAAUGACGGUACCGGAAGAAUAAGCCCCGGCUAACUUCGUG